UUGAUUGAUGUGUAAAAAUCGUGUUUAUGUAAUGCUACAGAUCAGAAAGUUACUUAGUGAAAGUAUCCACAGAAAUGAUUCAGAAAGUUGGAGAGGUAGACUUUAUUCAUUACUGAGCAGUAAUCAGCUCUCUGUGAACACGAAGGAGUUUUCAUCACUCUCUAAAGGAAUUUCCUUCAAAGGCAGCUAUAGAAACAACACAGCCCUGUGAACGUGCUUGGCAAAAGAACAAGAUCUAUGAUUUCAUGAACAUAAAAAUAUCACCUGUCACGAUAAAAGCUUUAAAAACUGAGUUUUCUCUGUUAGAGACUUAGUUAAUAUACUAUUGUUCUAUUUGAUACAUAACUUUGUUUUUUCAUAAAUUUCAAAAAGUCAUUAUUUGAUUGAGACAA